UGGCGGACGGGUGAGUAAUGCAUCGGAACGUGCCCAGUCGUGGGGGAUAACACAUCGAAAGAUGUGCUAAUACCGCAUACGUCCUGAGGGAGAAAGCGGGGGAAUCUUCGGAUCCUCGCGCGAUUGGAGCGGCCGAUGUCAGAUUAGCUAGUAGGUGGGGUAAAGGCCCACCUAGGCGACGAUCUGUAGCGGGUCUGAGAGGAUGAUCCGCCACACUGGGACUGAGACACGGCCCAGACUCCUACGGGAGGCAGCAGUGGGGAAUUUUGGACAAUGGGGGCAACCCUGAUCCAGCCAUGCCGCGUGAGUGAAGAAGGCCUUCGGGUUGUAAAGCUCUUUCGGCCGGGAAGAAAUCGCAUUCUCUAACAUAGGGUGUGGAUAACGGUACCGGACUAAGAAGCACCGGCUAACUACGUGCCAGCAGCCGCGGUAAU
rnacentral:rRNA from 1 species